rnacentral:rRNA from 1 species
GACGAACGCUGGCGGCGUGCUUAACACAUGCAAGUCGAACGAGAAAGCCCUUCGGGGUAAGUACAGUGGCGAACGGGUGAGUAACACGUGGGCAACCUGCCCCAGAGAGCGGGACAACCCGGGGAAACCCGGGCUAAUACCGCAUGAUGCGUCUCCACUUAAGUGGAGCCGCCAAAUGGUAGCUUCGGCCUCCGCUCUGGGAUGGGCCCGCGCCGGAUUAGCUAGUUGGUUGGGGUAACGGCCCACCAAGGCGACGAUCCGUAGCUGGUCUGAGAGGACGAUCAGCCACACUGGGACUGAGACACGGCCCAGACGCCUACGGGAGGCAGCAGUGGGGAAUCUUGCGCAAUGGGCGAAAGCCUGAUGCAGCAACGCCGCGUGGGGGAAGAAGGCCUUCGGGUUGUAAACCUCUUUCAGUAGGGACGAAGCUUCCGGGGUUAAUAGCCUACGGGGUGACGGUACCUACAGAAGAAGCCCCGGCUAACUACGUGCCAGCCGCCGCAGUAA